ACCUGGCUGGCUCAGUAGGUUGAGCGUCCGACUUUGGCUCAGGUCAUGAUCUCGCGGUUUGUGAGUUCGAGCCCCGCGUCAGGCU
rfam:Felis catus isolate Cinnamon breed Abyssinian chromosome X, whole genome shotgun sequence.